CAGACCUCGUCUGCUGGGUGGGGUUUAAGGGAGAGCCAUGGCGUGUCUCAAGCAGUGCAGAUUAGCAAAUGGGCUUUUACUCCGAAGCCACUGGAUUUUCCCGAGCUUCAGGAAAGACUCCUGGAAACCCGGCUGUUCUUCAGAAUCAAAAAGCCGUACAAUGUUUCUGGCCAGAGCCAGACAAGGACAGAGAUUUACAGCGGAUGUGACAAGUGUCCCAGGAAUGAGCCAGCCCGGACAAGUCCAAGAGGAGGAUUCCAGGCAGUUAAGAUGGUUUCCGGAGAAGCCUGGAAUUUCCCCGGAAGCACAAGCGCGGCAGAAAAAGGCAGGGGCUCUCGGCAGCCAGGACAGGGGCUGAGCCAGUCCCGGGACUCCCUGGCAAGUGGGUCACCCCUUAGGGUGGGAAGAGCCCCCGAGCCGUGUGGGGAACCUGACUAAAGGUUGCUGAACCUCUGCUUUCAAAGAGUAUUACAACCCCGGGAGCAUAGAACAAUCAGGGAGACCCUUACAUCCAAAACCCAUUUUCCUUCAAAAAAGUGUGCAGGUGGAGGUAAAGAAAGGAGACCCUGUGUACUUUGGUAAAUCUGUGAUUUAGCUACAAUGUAACUGGGCCUUGGGAACCCAGGGUGAGGUUUCUUAUGUGACAUCUCCCGGAAAAACUCUGCUCAAUUCCUGAAAAAUCCCUUAUCAGACACCGACAGGAAACAGGGACUUCCAAGGAAAUGGGUGUGGCGGGCACCUGAAGACCAUUCCAAAACUCCAAAGAUUUUAUUUAUUUUACUAACUUAGGUGACUUAGACAUAGAACUUCCUAAAAACAGUGUAUUCAGCUUUGUGUUCUUAAGCAAAUAAAUGAAGAGGCCACCAGAACUAGGGCUGCUGCAAAGGGCAGGGCAGAUGCCCCUACACCCACAGCCCCUGGGGGUCACACCUGUGAGCUCUUGCAUAUCAGCUUGUGACAGCGUAGUGACCUGUCCCUUUGUCACCUUGCCACCACAUCACCCCCAGGGGUCUGUGCAUUUCCUCCAAGCUGCUUCCAGGAUAGGAUCAGGAACGUGGUACUUGGGUGGGGGGCUGGGAGGGAGGCAAGGAGGUCUGGUUCUGCCCCCGUCCUCCAGCCUUGAGCGUGCAACUGCUCCUCUGGGAGCUUGGGUCUCCUCACCCAAAACACGGGGAAUUAGAGAAGAUGAUUUUGUAAGGCUCGAAGGCUCUGUAAUCCCCACAGACAUGCUCUAAAGGGAUCUCCAGUCCAGCAUGUCAACCCAAAUAAAAGACAACACUGUGGUUACUUGUUC